GACGAACUGUCCUAACGUUGUUCGGAAUCACUGGGCUUAAAGGGCGCGUAGGCGGGUUCGCAAGUCUGUGGUGAAAGCCUCCAGCUUAACUGGAGAAGUGCCAUGGAUACUGCGCAUCUUGAGGAGGGUAGGGGCGUCUGGAACGGUCGGUGGAGCGGUGAAAUGCGUUGAUAUCGACCGGAACUCCGGUGGCGAAGGCGAGGCGCUGGACCCUUUCUGACGCUGAGGCGCGAAAGCCAGGGGAGCAAACGGG
rnacentral:rRNA from 1 species